rnacentral:tRNA from 1 species
GGGGCCGUAGUGUAGCCUGGUUCAGGUAAAACCCGAAGGCAACUAUCACUAAUGGUUUGGGACCAUUGAACCCCGGUUCAAAUCCGGGCGGCCCCA